GCAUUGGUGGUUUAGUGAUUAAUCUUUUGCCUGCCAUGUUGGGGGACUAGGUUCUAUUCCUACCCAGUGCA